GCUUCCUCCUCCAAAUCUCCUCUUACUUUAGAGUGUCCAAGGUACUUGAAGAAGAAGGAAGAGACCAGCUAUCGAAGUUACUUACAGGCUAGCACCUCCAAGCCCUUGAUCUGUUCCAGUCUUCGUGUGGAUUUCUUGUAGAGGCUAGACGACUUUGUGUGGCUGCGAGUGACUUGAGGAAUACCUUCUCUAACCAUUAGACCAGAGGAGAUCAAUAUCAAAUUGGUUUGGUAAU
rnacentral:lncRNA from 1 species